rnacentral:rRNA from 1 species
GAUGAACGCUGGCGGCGUGCCUAAUACAUGCAAGUCGAACGGGGAGUAGCAAUACUCUUAGUGGCGAACGGGUGAGUAACGCGUUGGUACCUGCCCCGAAGCGGGGGAUAACGGACCGAUAGGUCCGCGAAUACCCCACGUGCACGGUAACGAGUAAAGGUGAACACGAUGAUGGGAGGGGCCUGCGUCCCAUCAGCUAGUUGGUAAGGUAACAGCUUACCAAGGCGAUGACGGGUGCGUGACCUGAGAGGGUGGCCCCUCACAAUGGAACUGCAGCACGGUCCACACCCGGACGGAUGGGAGCAGUAGGUAACAUUGGGAACGGGCGCCAGCCUGAGCAACCACCGGCGCGGGAGCAAUGCCGGCGUGCGGGUAGUAAAGCACUUUUGACUGGGACGGGGAGGGACGGUACCGGUCAAAUCAGCCUCGGCUAACUACGUG